AUUGAACGCUGGCGGCAUGCCUUACACAUGCAAGUCGAACGGUAACAGGUCUUCGGAUGCUGACGAGUGGCGAACGGGUGAGUAAUACAUCGGAACGUGCCCGAUCGUGGGGGAUAACGAAGCGAAAGCUUUGCUAAUACCGCAUAAGAUCUACGGAUGAAAGCAGGGGACCGCAAGGCCUUGCGCGAACGGAGCGGCCGAUGGCAGAUUAGGUAGUUGGUGGGAUAAAAGCUUACCAAGCCGACGAUCUGUAACGGGUCUGAGAGGACGACCAGCCACACUGGGACUAAGACACGGCCCAGACUCCUACGGGAGGCAGCAGUGGGGAAUUUUGGACAAUGGGCGAAAGCCUGAUCCAGCCAUGCCGCAUGCAGGAUGAAGGCCUUCGGGUUGUAAACUGCUUUUGUACGGAACGAAAAGACUCUUUCUAAUAAAGAGGGUCAUGACGGUACCGUAAGAAUAAGCACCGGCUAACUACGUGCCAGCCGCCGCCGUAAUAC
rnacentral:rRNA from 1 species